rnacentral:rRNA from 1 species
UACGGGGGGGGCAAGCGUUGUUCGGAAUUACUGGGCGUAAGGGCUCGUAGGCGGCCAACUAAGUCAGACGUGAAAUCCCUCGGCUUAACCGGGGAACUGCGUCUGAUACUGGAUGGCUUGAGUGUGGGAGAGGAAUGCGGAAUUCCAGGUGUAGCGGUGAAAUGCGUAGAUAUCUGGAGGAACACCGGUGGCGAAGGCGGCAUUCUGGACCAUUACUGACGCUGAGGAGCGAAAGCCAGGGGAGCAAACGGG